rnacentral:rRNA from 1 species
AUGGCCGGGCAUCUAGCCAAAAACCCAUUUCUCCUCCUCCUCCAGCCCCGCCGCCUGUGCACCGCCGCCGCAUCCUCCUCGGCCGCCGCGGGAGAACUCGCCCCCUCGCCCGUCGUCGAGGAGAUUCCCCGCGACGAUGACCUCGCGGAGGAGUCGCGCAGCCGCCUCGUGCGCGACACCUGCAAGCUGCUCGAGCUCCGGGGCUCGUGGACCCCGAAGCUGGAGGCGCAGCUCCGGCACCUGCUCCGGGUGCUCUCCCCGCCGCAGGUCCGCGCCGUGCUCCGCGCGCAGGCGCAGACGGACGCCCGCGCCGCGUUCGAGUUCUUCCGCUGGGCCGACCGCCAGUGGCGCUACCGGCACGCCCUGGAGGCGUUCGACGAAAUGCUGAGCCCCCUCAGCCACACCAGGCUCCACGACCCCGCCCGGCACGUCAUGCGCCUCAUGAUCCGCCGCCGCAUGAGGCGCCGGACGCAGCAGUUCGCGCACCUCAUGCUCUCGUACAGCUGCGCGGGGAAGCUCCGCUCCGCCAUGCGCGUGCUCCAACUCAUGCAGAAGGACGGGUGCGCGCCUGACAUAUCGAUAUGCAAUGUGGCGGUGAAUGUGCUUGUUUUUGCUGGCUGCAUCGACAAGGCGCUUGAGUUUAGCGACCGGAUGCGACGUGUUGGGGUCGAGCUGGAUGUAGUCCCAUACAAUUGCCUUAUCAAGGGGUUGUGUAGCGUGCGGAGGGUUGUUGAGGCGCUAGAGAUGAUCGGUGUGAUGCUGCAAAAUGGGUGCCCACCUGAUAAGAUUAUCUAUUAUACAGUGAUGGCAGAGGUGCGGGGUUUGCUUCGGAGGAUGAGGAAUGAUGCGGGUCUAUUUCCAGAUCAGGUCACGUAUAACAUGCUCAUCCAUGUGCUUGCAAAGCAUGGGCAUGCAGAUGAGGCGUUGGAGUUCUUGAGGGAGUCAGAGGGGAAAAGGUUCCGUGUUGAUGGGCAUGCAGUUGUGCACUCUUUCUGCUUGAAUGGGAGGAUGACUGAGGCAAAGGAGAUUGUAAGUGAGAUGAUCUCAAAAGAAUGUCACCCUGACGUUGUCACGUAUAGCGCAGUUGUUGAUGGGUUCUGCCGGAUCGGGGAAAUUGAUCAAGCAAGAAAGAUGAUGAAGCAUAUGUAUAAGAAUGGCUGCAAGCCAAACAUAGUCAGACAUACUGCAUUAUUAAAUGGUCUCUGCAAAGCUGGGAAAACUUCAGAGGCUCGGGAAUUGCUAAACAACAGUGCAGAGGAGUGGUGGACUCCAAGUGAUAUCACAUACAGUGUUGUAAUGCAUGGGUUUAGAAGAGAAGGGAAACUAAAGGAAUCAUGUGAUGUCGUUACCCAGAUGUUGCAGAAGGGUUUCUUUCCCACUACUGUGGAGAGUAACUUACUGAUCCAUGCGUCAUGUCUACAUAGUUCUCGAACCCGUAGGGUCCGCACGCUUAAAGUUUUGUGA